rnacentral:lncRNA from 1 species
AUCACCCGAGGUCUUUAAUCUCUUCCCACUACAAAUGAUGAGUAUUCCCCAUUGAACUAUUUCAUGCAUUGUUUUAUUCCUCCUUUAUUCGAAUUUGGGAAUGGCAAUGUAAGUAUACUCACAAAAGUGGAGUUACCUUAAAAUACGUGGACACAAAAACUUGGAGGAGAAUAAGCGUAUGUUGAAGGCAGCUGAGAGCUUGAUGCUAUUGCAAUAUCGUCCAGCUAAUCAAGUCGCGCUUUUCAAUUGUUGUGCAUUUUAUAACCAGAAUGCCUCAGGACCAAGUUUCAUUGAAGGAAUUUCCAAAUCAUCAUAUGCAAGGCUGCCAAAUGAUAUUAAAGGCUCGUCCGUAAAGGUAAGUUUCAAAUUUAUUUUGUGUGUUAUUCUUUUUCUGGAAAAGAGUUGAAUGAUUCAUGGGAAAGUAUGGAGCUCUUGUAAAUCGGCUAUUUUCUUGUUGUGUGUGCUAAGGUUUCUUAGUGUUCUACAUGAUCUCUGACAUGGAGGGGAAGGGGUCUGCAGGAAUGGGCUUAUGCUGAAUGUGCUCCUUUAGGUCAUUUUCUCUAGUCUAUUAAUUGUGCCAACAUAAACUUGUUCACGGUUUGGUAGAGUCGGAAUAGUGUCCUCCCAAGAAAGACACAGAAUACUGUUGCGCGCAUCGUGAAGUUAUUGACAACUAGUAACUCAUUAAUAUGGCGCAAUCUUCUCUGGUUUAAAGGCUAGAAUAGAACAUUUAAAAUCAACUCCUAUGAAUGUGGGCAAAUUUCACUAUAUAAUUGGUCAAACUGACUUUUAAACUCAACUUAGGUUCUUUACGAUGGAGCGGAGGAGCUUUGAUGGUUAGGAUUGUAUAAUUACAGGAAGGAUUUAAUUCUAUAAGUUUAUGAAUGUAGAAUGGACUGUCUUUACAUGUACUCUUGAUAUAUGAAUAUACUAAUAUGAUUUAGAGGCUUAUAACAUUAUUAAGUCUGUUCCAGCUCACAUAAAUCAUAGAGUUAGUAUAUUAAAGAUGGAUAUAUUAUAUAUAAGUCAAGAUGAUUAAACUUUUUUGAUUAAUUAAAGCGUAAUUUCAUUAAUAAUGGAAGUCAAGAUGGUAAGACUUAAAGUUAUUCUUUGAUAAGUGGUAAGAAUUUAAAGUUAUCAGCAAGGAGAAAUUAUCACAUUGCAUCAUCUUUUGUGGAAUUUUGUGUUUUGCAGAACUCAUUGGAGAGGAUAAUUCUUAUGAACUUGUUUGAUUUUAUUAUUGCCUCUAGUUUGUGUGUGUUUAAUCUCUAACUUAUCAUUACUAGGUUCAACAAAUCUCUUGAAUACCGCCGUUCUUUUAUUUCCUUAUUGACAAGUUUAAAGUAGAAUCACACUUGUGCCGAAGGAGAUUCAAGGAUUCUAGAAUUUUGUCCAUCACGGGUGUAGGGAGGGUUCUCAAGAGUGUUUAAGACUAGCAUUGAAGUGCAUUACAGAAGAAUAUGGAAAUCAGAGGCAUAAUUGUCUUAUGAUGUACCGAAAGAUUUUAUUGCGUAUUUCAUAUGCAUUUCAUGCAUUUAUAUAUGUACAUUGACCCAUGAUCAGAUGAC